rnacentral:rRNA from 1 species
GAGUUUGAUCCUGGCUCAGAUUGAACGCUGGCGGCAUGCCUAACACAUGCAAGUCGAACGAGGGUAGCAAUACCUUAGUGGCGGACGGGUGAGGAAUACGUAGGAAUUUGCCCUUAAGUGGGGGAUAGCCCGGGGAAACCCGGAUUAAUACCGCAUGAUCUCGAAAGAGCAAAGUGGGGGAUCGCAAGACCUCACGCUUUUGGAGAAGCCUACGUCGGAUUAGCUAGUUGGUGAGGUAAUGGCUCACCAAGGCGACGAUCCGUAACUGGUCUGAGAGGAUGAUCAGUCACACCGGAACUGAGACACGGUCCGGACUCCUACGGGAGGCAGCAGUGGGGAAUAUUGGACAAUGGGCGAAAGCCUGAUCCAGCAAUGCCGCGUGUGUGAAGAAGGCCUUCGGGUUGUAAAGCACUUUAAGUUGGGAGGAAGGGCAUGCACCUAAUACGUGUGUGUCUUGACGUUACCGACAGAAUAAGCACCGGCUAACUCUGUGCCAGCAGCCGCGGUAAUACG